rnacentral:rRNA from 1 species
CAGUAGCCGCGGUAAUACGUAGGUGGCAAGCGUUGUCCGGAAUUAUUGGGCGUAUAGGGCUCGCAGGCGGUUUCUUAAGUCUGAUGUGAAAGCCCCCGGCUCAACCGGGGAGGGUCAUUGGAAACUGGGAAACUUGAGUGCAGAAGAGGAGAGUGGAAUUCCACGUGUAGCGGUGAAAUGCGUAGAGAUGUGGAGGAACACCAGUGGCGAAGGCGACUCUCUGGUCUGUAACUGACGCUGAGGGGCGAAAGCGUGGGGAGCGAACAGGAUUAGAUACCCCCGUAGUCCCUGUCUCUUAUAC